rnacentral:rRNA from 1 species
UGGGGAAUUUUGGACAAUGGGGGAAACCCUGAUCCAGCCAUCCCGCGUGUGCGAUGAAGGCCUUCGGGUUGUAAAGCACUUUUGGCAGGAAAGAAACGUCGCGGGUUAAUACCCCGCGAAACUGACGGUACCUGCAGAAUAAGCACCGGCUAACUACGUGCCAGCAGCCGCGGUAAUACGUAGGGUGCAAGCGUUAAUCGGAAUUACUGGGCGUAAAGCGUGCGCAGGCGGUUCGGAAAGAAAGAUGUGAAAUCCCAGAGCUUAACUUUGGAACUGCAUUUUUAACUACCGGGCUAGAGUGUGUCAGAGGGAGGUGGAAUUCCGCGUGUAGCAGUGAAAUGCGUAGAUAUGCGGAGGAACACCGAUGGCGAAGGCAGCCUCCUGGGAUAACACUGACGCUCAUGCACGAAAGCGUGGGGAGCAAACAGGAUUAGAUACCCUGGUAGUCCACGCCCUAAACGAUGUCAACUAGCUGUUGGGGCCUUCGGGCCUUGGUAGCGCAGCUAACGCGUGAAGUUGACCGCCUGGGGAGUACGGUCGCAAGAUUAAAACUCAAAGGAAUUGACGGGGGUCGAUUA